ACGGAGGGUGCUAGCGUUGUUCGGAAUUACUGGGCGUAAAGGGCGCGUAGGCGGCUUGUCAAGUUGGAAGUGAAAUCCCGGGGCUCAACCCCGGAACUGCUUUCAAAACUGGCUAGCUUGAGUUAUGUAGAGGAUAGUGGAAUUCCCAAUGUAGAGGUGAAAUUCGUAGAUAUUGGGAGGAACACCAGAAGCGAAGGCGACUAUCUGGGCAUAUACUGACGCUGAGGCGCGAAAGUGUGGGGAGCAAACAGG
rnacentral:rRNA from 1 species